rnacentral:rRNA from 1 species
GACAGAGGUCCCGAGCGUUGUUCGGAUUCAUUGGGCGUAAAGGGUGCGUAGGCGGCGCGGUAAGUCGGGUGUGAAAUCUCGGAGCUUAACUCCGAAACUGCAUUCGAUACUGCCGUGCUUGAGGACUGGAGAGGAGACUGGAAUUUACGGUGUAGCGGUGAAAUGCGUAGAUAUCGUAAGGAAGACCAGUGGCGAAGGCGGGUCUCUGGACAGUUCCUGACGCUGAGGCACGAAGGUCAGGGGAGCAAACGGG